UACAGAGGGUGCGAGCGUUGUCCGGAAUCACUGGGCGUAAAGGGCGCGUAGGCGGCCUGAUAAGUAGGGGGUGAAAUCUUGCGGCUCAACCGCAAGGCUGCCUUCUAAACUGUCAGGCUGGAGCACGGUAGAGGCAGAUGGAAUUCCCGGUGUAGCGGUGGAAUGCGUAGAGAUCGGGAAGAACAUCGGUGGCGAAGGCGGCCUGCUGGGCUCUUGCUGACACUGAGGCGCGACAGCGUGGGGAGCAAACAGG
rnacentral:rRNA from 1 species